AACGAACGCUGGCGGCAGGCCUAACACAUGCAAGUCGAACGCUGUAGCAAUACAGAGUGGCAGACGGGUGAGUAACGCGUGGGAACCUACCCUUUGGUUCGGAAUAGCUCAGGGAAACUUGAGGUAAUACCGGAUACGCCCUUCGGGGGAAAGAUUUAUCGCCAAAGGAUGGGCCCGCGUCGGAUUAGCUAGUUGGUGGGGUAACGGCCUACCAAGGCGACGAUCCGUAGCUGGUCUGAGAGGAUGAUCAGCCACACUGGGACUGAGACACGGCCCAGACUCCUACGGGAGGCAGCAGUGGGGAAUAUUGGACAAUGGGGGCAACCCUGAUCCAGCCAUGCCGCGUGAGUGACGAAGGUCUUCGGAUUGUAAAGCUCUUUUGGCGGGGAAGAUAAUGACGGUACCCGCAGAAUAAGCCCCGGCUAACUUCGUGCCAGCCGCCGCCGUAACAC
rnacentral:rRNA from 1 species